GACAGGGUGACCGAGUGGUUAAGGCGUUGCACUGGUAAUGUAAUAUGGUCUCCAUGCGUGGGUUUGAAUCCCAUCUGUGUCG